UACGAAGGGGACUAGCGUUGUUCGGAAUUACUGGGCUUAAAGGGUGCGUAGGCGGACUGUCAAGUCAGGGGUGAAAUCCCACGGCUCAACCGUGGAAGUGCCUUUGAUACUGAUAGUCUCGAGGGAGAUAGGGGCGUGCGGAACUCAGGGUGGAGCGGUGAAAUGCGUAGAUAUCCUGAGGAACACCGGUGGCGAAAGCGGCGCGCUGGAUCUCUUCUGACGCUGAGGCACGAAAGCCAGGGGAGCAAACGGG
rnacentral:rRNA from 1 species